ACGCCAUGGAGCCAGCCACCAGGUCAGACAUGCUGAAUCUUUUCCGAAGGUGUUUCUAGAUGCUUUAGCAGGACACUGUUUGUUCUGUGUGGCUGUUCCUCAUGUGAUCCAGAAACUGCAGUCACCAAGGAGGUUUCCUCGAGUUAAGGACAUGGCGACUCAUCUUCUGAAAUGGAAAGUGAAGUGGCCUUCACUGUCUUCCAUGCUGCCUCAUCAAAAGGAUGUCCGCAUGAGAAAAUGUCCCCGCACAGUGGGGACAGAUCAUUACCAUGCGGGCAUCAGUCCCAACAGUCAGAAGAAAAGACUCUACCAAACGGGCUAGGGACAAAAGGCCACGGCACGCAGGCUAGUGGCUCACUUGCCAUUAAGUAAACUACAAGCCAUUCGUUGGUAACUGUUAGUGGGCAUUAUGCCAGGCAUUCACCUUGGUGCUAAACUGAGCAUUUAAAGUCUUAAAACAACAGUUCCUUCUAUGGAGUUUCUAUAUACCUACCCGAUACAUACGUUUUACACUAACAAA